GCUUACGGCCACACCGGCCUGAGUACGCCUGAUCUCGUCCGAUCUCGGAAGCUAAGCAGGGUCGGGCCUGGUUAGUACUUGGAUGGGAUACCGCCUGGGAAUACCAGGUGCUGUAAGCU
rnacentral:rRNA from 1 species